AGAGUUUGAUCCUGGCUCAGGAUGAACGCUGACAGAAUGCUUAACACAUGCAAGUCGACUUGACUAGUUUACUAGUUGGGUGGCGCACGGGUGAGUAACGCGUGAAGAACUUGCCCUCUAGCCUGGGACAACUACUAGAAAUGGUAGCUAAGACCGGAUAGUAUUUUUGGUAGGCAUCUACUGGAAAUGAAAGGGAACACUAGAGGAGAGCUUCGCGUCCCAUUAGCUAGUUGGUAGUGUAAGAGACUACCAAGGCGACGAUGGGUAGCCGGCCUGAGAGGGUGAACGGCCACAAGGGGACUGAGACACGGCCCUUACUCCUACGGGAGGCAGCAGUGGGGAAUAUUGGACAAUGGGCAAAUGAGCCUGAUCCAGCAAUUCUGUGUGAACGAAGAAGGCUUUCGGGUCGUAAAGUUCUUUCGGCAGGGAAGAAGGAAAUGACGGUACCUGCAUAAGAAGCGACGGCUAAUCACGUGCCAGCAGCCGCGGUAAUACGUAAGUCGCAAGCGUUAUCCGGAUUUACUGGGCGUAAAGGGCGUCUAGGCGGUUUUACAAGUCAGAGGUGAAAAGUCAGGGCUCAACCUUGGCCUGGCCUUUGAAACUGUGAGACUAGAGUACGGAAGAGGAGGGUGGAACUACAAGUGUAGCGGUGGAAUGCGUAGAUAUUUGUAGGAAUGCCAAAGAUGAAGAUAGCCCUCUGGGACGAUACUGACGCUAAAGCGCGAAAGCUAGGGUAGCAAACAGGAUUAGAUGCCCUGGUAGUCCUAGCUGUAAACGAUGAAUACUGGGUGAUUGUGGUAACACCAUAGUUGCCGAAGCUAACGCAAUAAGUAUUCCGCCUGGGGAGUACGGUCGCAAGACUAAAACUCAAAGGAAUUGACGGGGACCCGCACAAGCGGUGGAGCAUGUGGUUUAAUUCGAUGCAACGCGAGGAACCUUACCAGGUCUUGAAUCCACGGAACACUUUAGAGAUAGAGUGGUGCCUUUUUAAGGAACCGUGAGACAGGUGGUGCAUGGCUGUCGUCAGCUCGUGCCGUGAGGUGUUGGGUUAAGUCCCGCAACGAGCGCAACCCCUGCAAUAUGUUACCAUCAUUAAGUUGGGGACUCAUAUUGGACUGCCUGCGAAGAGCAGGAGGAAGGUGGGGAUGACGUCAAGUCAUCAUGCCCUUUAUGACCUGGGCUACACACGUGCUACAAUGGGUAGAACAAAGAGAAGCAAGACAGUGAUGUGGAGCAAAUCUGAAAAAACUACUCUCAGUUCGGAUUGUAGUCUGCAACUCGACUACAUGAAGUUGGAAUCGCUAGUAAUCGCGAAUCAGCUAUGUCGCGGUGAAUACGUUCUCGGGUCUUGUACACACCGCCCGUCACACCACGAGAGUUGGUUGCACCUGAAGUUACUGGCCUAACCGUAAGGGGGGAGGUACCGAGGGUGUGAUUGAUGAUUGGGGUGAAGUCGUAACAAGGUA
rnacentral:rRNA from 1 species